UAGUCAUGGAGUUUCUAUCUCUGUCGCGACGUAUUGCGGUUAAACGACUGAACUCUCGACUAUUUUUGCUUCGCGGGAAGGAAAACUGUGUAUUGGUUGAUUUAAGUUAACGUGGAUUGCUUGACUGUGAUUGCGAUCCCGAGGCUAAUCUUGGCUGGAUCUGCAAAGGCGAUGUUUAUCAGACGGUUGUGUUCGGUAUUUCCAUUACGAUAAUGUAGUUCCUCGAAUUGUCAAGAAGUCUGACCCAAUUUAUGAAGUAAACUACACCUGAAAUAUAACCAUAUAUAUCUGAAGUAAAAAUACUUGAAGGUAGGAAAUCUGUUUCCAAUCUCCACUGAAGUGGACUACUUCAGUUCUCAGGAUUCAACUGGGUCAGCUUACGGGGACAAACUAAGAAAAGUACUUCUGUUAUUAAGAGCUCCUCUGUUCAUUAAUUCCAUCCAACAGUAAUUUUUAAACUAGGUGAGACUGGAACCUGACGUUGCUGAUAUUCUUCAAAUGAUACUAUAAGCUCUUUUUCAAUGAAGGACGAGCGUUUUAUUUCAAUAGAUGUAAAAUGCACUUGUGAAUAUGUACGUUCUUAAUUUCCUCGGUAACAGAAAUCGCAAAUUACAAAGUCAAUUCUCCUUGGGUUUUACUAUGUAAUUUAUAUAACUAUUACUAUGUAAUUUUUAUAAACUUUAGUCCAGUUGAGUUGUCUAUGAAUCCACAAGUCCAGGUGUACUAGUUAGUAAUAAUUUAAGAAAAUGG